AUGAGGUGGGGCGUGCCAGCCCCUUUUGGGCUGGUGUGCUCUCCCUCAUUGCCCCUUUUGGCCCAAGCCCCGUGGCUUCCCAGAACUCCUUCAGGUGAUCCAAUAAUUAUCCAGUGCAUUCCGAAACUCUUCUGGAGACCAAAUACUAUCAUCGUAUAUAUCAAUCUUUACCUCCAGACCAUUCCAGAGCUCCUCGUCAUGUCCGUGAUCUCAUUUGGGACUCUGAACAACAUUCGCUCACCAACAUACAUAACUCAUUUAGUAUUAUAUCGUCAACGAACGUUAAGCAUGCGAACCCUACGGAUUCGAGAAUGA
rnacentral:rRNA from 1 species